UAUGUUACUUUUAUUAAAUACCUUAAACACAUGUAUAAAUAUACAAAAAAAAAAAGAAUUAAUUUUAGACAUGGUUUCUUGGUCAAUAAGAAUUCUUCGUAGAAUCCGAAUCUGAUGGACGAUUAUGUCGUUUUUUUAUUACGUAUUUAUAUAAUAGAACAGUAUCAGGCCGAGUAACAGAGCAUUAUGGAGAGCCCAUAAAUCCGAUUUUGAUUCGUCACUGCCUGAAUCUAAGGUCAUUUUGGAAAUUGUCUGUCCUAAAUCGUGGGAUUACAAAUAUUGUAUAUUGGUUGAUUGUCGAUUCAAUUAUUUGAAAGGCACUUGCAUCGUAAGCUUCAGCAUUAUAAUCGUUUAUUGUCUAUUAUAUGAUUGAGAGUGCCCUACUCUGCAAUUUGCAUACUCUGCAUUUUGUAUACCCUUCCAAUCGAAAUUGGACAACAACGCAUACAAGAAAGCAUUUCAAAGAAAGCAAGACGAGUUCACAUAUCAAUUUCUGUCCGGUAGUUUGGAUCAAUGCAACGUCUCCUAGACCGCCUAAGUUGAUAUCGGAUGUGACUACUAUAUCAUUUAGCCCCCAUUUGUAUACUCUUGCAGGGGGUAUUAUAAAAUUGGUCAGAUGUUUGUAACGCACAGAAGCCUGAGAAGCUGAGUCGAUAUAGCCGUCCGUCGGUGUGUAUCCGUUUUUCUCAGCCAUCUCAUAAAGUAUGAAAAUUAUGAUAGGUGAAGAAAUUGGAGUAAAUUCGAUACCAAUAUGAUAGUUUUGGAUAUAAAACCUCAGAUCCCAAAAUUUGAAUCUGAUCUGAUAAAUACAACACAAGUCACAGUCUUACGGUAUCGGAGAAGUUUGCGUUGAUCCAGACAGACGAACAGGCGGUCGAAGAUUCCCUUUGCCCACUUAUGAGAAAAGUGUACAUACACUUUUUGCAAGGGUCCAAAAAUGUUUCGAAUUUUAACAACCGUAGAUAUUUAUACGGGCGGA